GCCAGGCGUGGUGGCACCCGCCUGUAGUCCCAGCUACUUGGGAGGCUGAGGCUGGAGGAUCACUUGAGCACAGGAGUUCUGGUGUGCAGUGCACACUAUGCCGAUCAGGUGUCCACACUAAGUUCGGCAUCAAUAUGGUGACCUCCCGGGAGCGGGGGACCACCAGGUUGCCUAAGGAGGGGUGAACCGGCCUAGGUCAGAAAUGGAGCAGGUCAAAACUCCUGUGCUGAUCAAAAGUAGAACACAAAACUACUUCUAGAUUUCAAAAUUAGCAGAUUAAAAAAGUAAAAGUUAGACACAU
rnacentral:SRP_RNA from 1 species